UUAUCACAGUAAGAAAAUACCACAGUGUGGGAAGCAGCAAUAAAAAGAGCUCCAUGAUUUCUAAAGAUUUCCCACUAAUAGAAGAAGGCACCAUUAAUUUUGGUUAAUUUUUACCACGCAGAAAAUGAAUUCUGUUGGCCACAUAGGAAAUAGUUUUCAGAACAUGCUAAGGUAUUUGAACAUCUAAAAAGGGAACUUUCCUCAACAAGAUAAGCAUGUUUUCAUGUGAUCUGUCAAUUGAUCCAUGGAGAGAUGUUCAGUUGUCCAAUCUUAUUUAUUUUGGACAAAUAUUCUACUUUUUCUCCUUAUGGGACAGCUUUUAAGUUGGAUAAAUAAAUGAUCCUGCCUUGUUCUGUUAGAGAAACACAUUUAUUUAAUGUUCCUAAACCAUUGCUGACUGCUGUGUGAACCUCCUGUAAUUCAAUGGCUGUAACCAUGACAGUUUUGAACACCUGUCCCUGGAUUAGGUUCCAGUUUCAUGAUUCAGCUCUGGGCAAACGGAAGAGCUGUUAGGCCAAGGAAAGGACAAAAAGGGAUGCAGAGAUGGCCAAAUCCCCCCUGUUUUGUCAAGGGUGGGGGAGAUGCUGACCCCUCUACCUCCUUCCAUAUUCCAGAGCCUCUUAUUCCCUGCAUUCAGCUUCUUGAUUCUGUUGCUCACUCUAAAAGUACACAUGGACAGGUGACCAAGAAGGUAAAUGCCACCCUUACUCAGGGGACCAACUUGAGUAACUGUCUUUGGCUUCUUCCCUUUCCCCCUCCCCCCUCCCAAAUUCCCUCAGGGAUGUAGAAGGGACUGCUGUUCCCACAUAUCCCUGCAGCUGUGGGUUUCCACGAAGAAGAAGUGAUUGCUGGCUGGAGGAAGCACUCAGGUUUUUUUCACUUACGUUUACCAGUACUGCAAAAACAAAACAAAACAAAACAAAAAACAAUACAAAGAAAUAAUGUCUGGAUGAAGUCAAGUCAUAUGUUCUGUGGUCCUGGUAGCCCACAAGGAGUGAGGAAUCUGCCAGGUAUUUUCAGGAAGACCAAUGUGAACUUAAGGGAUUCAAAAGAAACAAGGUGGAGGGAGCAGAGAAAAGGAUGGGACCAUUCCUCCAGAGAAGCAAUAGAAUUGGCCAGCAGCCCAGGAGAAGAUGCUGCCCCUUCCAGUCAUCAGAAAGACAACACACUUGUUGGGUGUGUAAAGACUAAAAAAAAGGGACAGUGGUCAGGCAGCACGGUGGUGGUGGUGGUGGAAGAGGCGAGUCGCAUUCCACUUUGCUAA
rnacentral:lncRNA from 12 species